rnacentral:rRNA from 1 species
GAUGAACGCUAGCUACAGGCUUAACACAUGCAAGUCGCGGGGCAGCAUGGGGGUUGCUUGCAAUCCCCGAUGGCGACCGGCGCACGGGUGAGUAACGCGUAUCCAACCUGCCCUUCACCACGGGAUAACCCGGCGAAAGUCGGACUAAUACCGUAUGUUGUCCAUUGACGGCCUCCGAUUUGGACGAAAGGCUUGGCGGUGAGGGAUGGGGAUGCGUCCGAUUAGCCAGACGGCGGGGUAACGGCCCACCGUGGCUACGAUCGGUAGGGGUUCUGAGAGGAAGGUCCACCACACUGGGACUGAGACACGGUCCAGACUCCUACGGGAGGCAGCAGUGAGGAAUAUUGGUCAAUGGGCGUAAGCCUGAACCAGCCAAGUAGCGUGCAGGAUGACGGCCCUAUGGGUUGUAAACUGCUUUUAUGCGGGGAUAAAGUGGCCCACGUGUGGGCUUUUGCAGGUACCGCAUGAAUAAGGACCGGCUAAUUCCGUG